rnacentral:rRNA from 1 species
UACGGAGGGUGCAAGCGUUAAUCGGAAUUACUGGGCGUAAAGCGUGCGUAGGCGGUUCGUUAAGUCUGUUGUGAAAGCCCCGGGCUCAACCUGGGAAUGGCAAUGGAUACUGGCGAGCUAGAGUGUGUCAGAGGAUGGUGGAAUUCCCGGUGUAGCGGUGAAAUGCGUAGAGAUCGGGAGGAACAUCAGUGGCGAAGGCGGCCAUCUGGGGACAACACUGACGCUGAGGAGCGAAAGCUAGGGGAGCAAACGGG